GCGGUUGGUGGGUGAGACUUUCGCUUUUAACUGCCGCAGCUCCGCGCGAUUCCCAGGGAUAACAGAGGGCCAGCGUGGGUCGCCUUCAAGACUGUCCGUGUAUUGCUCAGGCUGACCUCACAUGAGAUCCUCUUGCCUCUGCUCCCAUAUGGAUUUUUAAAAUACUCCUAUGGUAUUCUGUGACCCGCUUUACUCACUAGUGCUGUAGCCUUUUUCAAACUUGGAUCUUCUGUGCAGUAGGAACAAUAACACUGAAGAAAACAGUGAGCUAACGCUGUGCAGUGGCUGAGAUGGCUAAAAUUACAGAUGAGUGACCAUCCCAAGUGUGGAUGAGGGUAUGGAGCAACCGGCCAAAGCUGUCAGACACUGCUGAUGAAGAUGUAUAAUAGUACAGGUACUGACUUGGCCUGUUACAAAGAAAUGACCAACAUCCAUGUAUAAGUCGUUAGAGAGACAUACUUUCAUCUGUCCUAAUGAAAUGUCUACAAGUGGAAUGGCCGGGUCAACUUCUGGGCUGGCCCCACACAGGAUCCUCUUCCUUCACCUCCCAUAUAAUGGAUUUUCUAAAUACUCAUCAUGGAUCCUGUGACCCGCUUUAUUCUCUAGUGCUGUAGUCUUUUGCAGAAUUGGAUGUUCUAUGCAGAGGACAAAAGAAUAACUUGAAGAAAGUGUUUCUCUAAAUGAAGGCCAAAGAUCCAAAAGAAUUCUUAUAUGGACUGAAUAAUAAACAUUUUAAACACGCUCCCUCUGCGAUUUUUCUGCAUUCUGAAAUGCCCUACAGGAAAGAGCAACAGGACUGUGCAGGAGAAGCAGCAACUCUCCCACAUGAAGGAGCCAUUCUCUGAUGGAGCAGUGGUAAACCCACGCCACCACCACCAAAAGAUGUCAACAUGGGGCGGCACAGGCACAGACACAUAAGUGGAACCAAGUCUGUCUGAAGACAACUCCUGGGAUGAGAAAGAAAAACUAGAGCCUGUGGCUGUGGAGAAGUAGCGCUGCAUUGUCUGUAAACACCAUAUCGUCUCCGUGCAGUCAUCUGGUGAGUGGAGGAGAGCUUUGUCUUGGCUCAAAGUUUCAGUAGAUUCCAUGGAUGCUCAGUGAGUUUCAGGGCAGAAGUGGUGUGGUGGAAUGGCCUGGGAGGAAGAUAGCUCAUCCUUUGGCAGCCUGGAAACAGAGGAGAAGGAAAGGGCCAGGUCUAUUAAGAGUUCAGUCGUGGCAAUCCUAUGACACACAUGCUGCAGUGGGCCUUUGGUAUCUUGAAAAUGCUGCAAUGUUCGCCAUCACUGUAGAAAACUGGAAGAUCAUCCUGUAGCUCCUUUUGAGGCUGAGUACUAGUGAACACUUGGGCAUAAUGGAGACAGUUCGUUGUUCAGCAGACAGCAGCAUUGUUUCCAAAAUGGUACACUGAUCAUUAAUUACAUUGUUUUCUUUGACCUGAUUUGACAGAGUAAUUGUUCUUCUGAAAUAAUUGGGUGUCAUCUUUUCUCCAUAGAAGCUCUGCACUACUAUUUUGUAAAUUACUAACUUUAAAAUAAUUUGUAAUUAGUACAUGUUUAUAGGACAAAUGUUCACUGUGGCAAAUUGGUACAUCUACAUAUCAUGUCUUCAUCCUUUUUAUGUCCCGUUUCCCUCUCCUUCCCCCCAAACAAUAUGGAUUUUUCUCAUCAGUGAUGCACACUGAUAUGUGUCAAUUAUAGUUUGAAAAACUGACCAAAAAUUAAAAAUCAUAUGGAUAGUGUUUAGAUACUAACAUCUUGUGCUGAGUCUGUUAGGGAUCGCAUAGUGUAGUCAUUACCCUGACUGGACAUCAUCACUGUGAUGCAAUAUAUUAUUAUUUUACCUCAAACAUUUUAUAUUUAGUGACAUCUAUCAUAUGGUAAACUUACUUUAAAACAUUUUGCUGAAAAUAAAAUGGUAUGUAAAAUUUCUGUAAAGGUUGUUUUUUCAGGGUUGUUAGAAGGGUUUUUAUUUUUCUGAUCUCCAUUGUAAAAUUUCAUUUCUUAGUUUUGUUUUUCUUUUAUUUGUCUGUUGCUUACUGAAUUCCCUUAGUUUGUGAUAAUGUGUGCACAUACCUAACUACUUCUUUCCUGUCUGUCGAAGAGGAAAAAACCCUAUAUUUCCCUAGCAGUCCAUGGUUGUGUUCCUGUCUCGUAAAAUAGAACCAUAACUGGAUCUAAACGACAUAAAAGGUAAACAAGGAAGGACAGAGAGGUUGCAUUCUUCAGAGGAGCCCCAGUCUGCACCUUCAGCUUUGAUGUCGUCUCCCGGCUUCUAGUGCAGACUCUUUGGCUUCCACCUUGGAUCCGUCAGCCUUCCGUGGCAGACCCAUCAGCCUCAUGAUACAAACUUGCACAGAACACUGCCUUGCACUCCAGAUUUUGGACUGAAUCCUUCUGUCCCCAGUGUAUAGACACCCUCUGCAUGCUUCCUCAUCCAACUCUUUGGCUGACCGUCAUAUCCCAAUCUUGUAAUUUCUUAUACAUUUGUAUAUCUUGUGUUAUAUCUGUUUCUCCAGUAAAACCCUGACUGAUACAUGGGUGGAUGGCUAAAGCAAGUAUACAUAUCACCUCUCAUAAUUAUCUGUUCUGCACUUCAAAUCUCUCAGCAAUUUUUAAGUAUGCAAUACACUGUUGUUAAUUGUAGUGAUACCAUGUUGUACAAUGAAACUCACAAAAUCUUUCUGUCCUGACAAAUGAUGUUUGUAUCUUUUAGCUAACAUCUCCUCAACCCCUCUAUCCCCAAAACAUACUGCAUACUAGCCCCUAGUUAUCAGUAUUCUUCUGUGAGUUUAUGAAUUCCUCAUUUUAUAUUCCAUAGAUGAGUGAGGUGAAGUGGUAUUUAUUCUUUUUACCUGGCCGAGUUUUCACAUUUACUUUGAAAUCCUCUAGGGUUUUUCAUGUAACAAAUGAGACAAUUCUCUUCCUUGUUCAGGCUGAAUAGUAUUGCAUUGCACAUACUUUUUAUGUUUUAUUUAUUCAACAUCUGUUAAUGAACACAAUAUGAUGUUAUGUGAAUAAGACUGAUAUAAAUAUGAGAGUUUGGUGGAAUAAGUCAGCUCUGUGGGAAUACAACACAACACCUGACACAGGCUACUUAGGAGUACAGAGAGAUUUAUUUUGGUUUGUGAUUCAUGGGACAUUGUCUUAGUUACUUUUCUCAUUGUGGAGACAAA